rnacentral:rRNA from 1 species
UGGGGAAUAUUGCACAAUGGGCGCAAGCCUGAUGCAGCCAUGCCGCGUGUGUGAAGAAGGCCUUCGGUUGUAAAGCACUUUCAGCGAGGAGGAAGGUGGUGAACUUAAUACGUUCAUCAAUUGACGUUACUCGCAGAAGAAGCACCGGCUAACUCCGUGCCAGCAGCCGCGGUAAUACGGAGGGUGCAAGCGUUAAUCGGAAUUACUGGGCGUAAAGCGCACGCAGGCGGUUUGUUAAGUCAGAUGUGAAAUCCCCGGGCUCAACCUGGGAACUGCAUUUGAAACUGGCAAGCUAGAGUCUCGUAGAGGGGGGUAGAAUUCCAGGUGUAGCGGUGAAAUGCGUAGAGAUCUGGAGGAAUACCGGUGGCGAAGGCGGCCCCCUGGACGAAGACUGACGCUCAGGUGCGAAAAGCGUGGGGAGCAAACAGGAUUAGAU